GGAACAAAGUCAGAGAUGUCGGAAAAUCACCCAAAACAUCUACUGAUACAGGAUCGGAGCCUCAAAUAGUCAGAAAAGUCCCGAUUAACCGAUUAUCAUUCAUCAAAAAAAUAAAUAUACGAACAGUAUUUUUUUCAGAUAACCGAAGAAAAACUUCAGCGAAAGCUUCAUCAAGUAUUGAUAACACGUAACAGAGAAGGAUCGGAAGAUUCUCGCUCUGAUACCAUGAAAACAUUAAGGUUUGAAGAAGAAAAUCAGAGAAGAUGAAGAUGAACAGUGAGAGACACAGAGAGAAACCGGGAGCUUCUGGAGAAAGCCAGAAAGCAAAAU
rnacentral:lncRNA from 1 species